GACUUCAUCAAAAUUUUAAAAUUUGUUUGGAACAAUACAGAGAAGAUUAGCAUGGCCCCUGUGCAAGUAUGAUAUGCAAAUUCGUGAAGCGGUCCAUAUUUUA